CCGUAUUGAAAUCAAAGGUAUUUCGGUGCAUCUACUGUCGCGGAUUUGACUAUCCAACAACUGACUAAUCAUUGGUUUGUUUGUUCAUUUGCUGCCUAGUAUUGUUUUGGUGAUGUGUAGGCCAUUUAUCAUCAAACUUUUGUAGGUCCAGCUUUGUGUAGAUAGAUAACCCAUAGCUAUGUAUGCUGGCAACCGUGGCUAUUCCAUAAUUUCAAUAUUCGGUGCAUCGAAUAAUGGUGAGAAAUGCAGAGAAAACAUUGUUUCAUUGCUUCCUGUAUAAAAGAGCUUCGAAAUAUAUGCAUACGCAGUUGGCGGCAAUUUUUUUCUUUCUUUUAUCAAGAUUUCAUGCUUCCACACAACAAUAAUAAUGCACCAUUUGAAUUAUUUUCUAGCUUCAUACCUCAAGAAAAAUGAAAGCAUGACCGUACCAAAUAUAUGCAUCGAGGGUUGUUUCACUUGUUUGUUAGAUUACUGUUAAUAGGCUUGUUUGUGAGUAUGCUUUGGUGCAAAAUAUUCCAAGAAAUUACUAUUAGAUGGGAGCUUCCAAAUAUAUGCAUCUGCAGUUGGCGAAAAAAAAUUGGUUCCAUUUUCCAAAAUUUAUAUGCAUCCACCCAACACUAAUGAUGCACCAUUUUUGUUAUUUGCCAGCUUUAUCCUCUAGAAAACUGGAAUAAUUAUCGUACCAAAUAUAUGCAUCGAGGGUUAUUUGUUAGAAUACAGUUAAAAGGCCUGUUUAUCAGUAUGCUCUCUGCAAACCAUCUCUUAUAUAGAGGUACUACCGCACUACAAACAUUCUUUUCAAAUUUGUCCUAUAUGUCCUACUCCCUCCGUUCCUAAAUAUAAGUCUUUGUAGAGAUUUCACUAUGGACCACAUACAGAUGUAUCUAGAUGCAUUUUAGAGUAUAGAUUCACUCAUUUUGCUCCGUAUGUGGUCCAUAGUGAAAUCCCUCCAAAGACUUAUAUUUAGGAACCGAGGGAGUAUCAUUUAUGUUUUGGUAGAUCAAACCUCUCUUAAUUUCUUAUGUGUGCUUCUAAUAUAUAAUUGUUUUGCACCACAUGAUAUGUUUCUUCCAUAUUUUUAUUGAAGAGAGCUUUGCCUCCAUAGUUCAACCAAAUUCUGUAAACUUUUUGGAAUGUAGGUCAUCGAACAAUGUGUGUGUUCUGCUUGACUCCACCCUUGAUGACGUGGUGGUCAUAGCCUCAAACUGUAUGUGUGACAUUUAUGGUUGUGGUGUGUGGAAGACACAAAGGAGCCUGUGGUCGUGCCAUGCCCAGAGAGGAGAUCGUGAUUGGAUAAGAUUAGAGGCCGGGACAAUAUUUGUCCACAAAAGAGACAAUGUGCUAGCAUCUGGCUCAAGUUAAAGAAUUUUUUUUCUCGGAUGCAAAUUAUAUUUUAUUCGGAAGCAGAUUCUAAUAUCUCUAGAGAAAUGUCUUAUUGAUGGAAACAAAUAUAUUUUUUCUAUUGGAAGUGU
rnacentral:lncRNA from 1 species